CUAAGCGUGACUUGAUACCUCGCAUAGC
rnacentral:sRNA from 1 species